rnacentral:rRNA from 1 species
UACGAAGGGAGCGAGCGUUGUUCGGAAUUACUGGGCGUAAAGCGUGCGUAGGCGGUUUUGUAAGUAAGAAGUGAAAGCCUAGGGCUUAACCUUAGAAUUGCUUUUUAGACUGCAAAGCUAGAAUCCUGGAGAGGUUGGCGGAAUUCCGAGUGUAGAGGUGAAAUUCGCAGAUAUUCGGAGGAACACCAGUGGCGAAGGCGGCCAACUGGACAGGUAUUGACGCUGAGGCACGAAAGCGUGGGGAUCAAACAGG